CAUAGUAUAGUACUUUGGCAUCAAGGAACUAUUAAAGUCACAACGGCAAAAGAUGAGCAUGCGUCCCAUUAGCUAGUUGGUAAGGUAACGGCUUACCAAGGCUACGAUGGGUAGGGGUCCUGAGAGGAGAUCCCCCACACUGGUACUGAGACACGGACCAGACUCCUACGGGAGGCAGCAGUGAGGAAUAUUGGACAAUGGGCGCAAGCCUGAUCCAGCCAUGCCGCGUGCAGGAUGACGGUCCUAUGGAUUGUAAACUGCUUUUAUACAGGAAGAAACCCUCCCACGUGUGGGAGCUUGACGGUACUGUAGGAAUAAGGAUCGGCUAACUCCGUG
rnacentral:rRNA from 1 species